UUACAUGCAGCUGUGCUCCGAAGAGGGACUCAGCUCAGAAUGGCCCACAGCUCACACCUGCCUUCCUGUGACCCAGUUCACACCUCCUCCCAGAGAGAAAAAAGGGAGAGGGAGAGAGAAAAACAUCAAGCAGCUGCCUCCCACACAUCCCUCACCAGCAAUUGAGCCCACAACCCAGGCAUGUGCCCUGACCAGGACUCAACCCUUCAAAGAAUGGAAUGACACCCAACCAACUGCACCACGCUGGCCGGCUCCUCUGCUUUUCAGUAAAGGAUUUAAACAAUGUA